rnacentral:rRNA from 1 species
CGGAGGGUGCGAGCGUUAAUCGGAAUUACUGGGCGUAAAGGGUGCGUAGGUUGUUUUAUAAGUUAUCUGUAAAAUCCCUGGGCUCAACCUGGGCAGGUCAGAUAAGACUGUAGGACUCGAGUAUAGGAGAGGGUAGUGGAAUUUCCGGUGUAGCGGUGAAAUGCGUAGAGAUCGGAAGGAACACCAGUGGCGAAGGCGGCUACCUGGCCUAAUACUGACACUGAGGCACGAAAGCGUGGGGAGCAAACAGGAUUAGAUACCCUGGUAGUCCACGCUGUAAACGAUGUCAACUAGCCGUUGGUUAUAUGAAUAUAAUAAGUGGCGCAGCAAACGCGAUAAGUUGACCGCCUGGGGAGUACGGUCGCAAGAUUA